rnacentral:tRNA from 1 species
GGAUUGUAGCUCAGAGGUAGAGCACUCACCUAGCAUGUGUGAGGCACUGGGUUCGAUCCUCAGCACCA